AGUUAAUUAAUUUAUAAAAAAUAUUUAUUUUGAAAAUAAAAAAUAGAAAUUAAUUCUAUUAACUU
rnacentral:tRNA from 1 species